UACGAAGGGGGCUAGCGUUGCUCGGAAUCACUGGGCGUAAAGCGCGCGUAGGCGGAUUGUUAAGUCAGGGGUGAAAUCCUGGAGCUCAACUCCAGAACUGCCUUUGAUACUGGCGAUCUUGAGUCCGGGAGAGGUGAGUGGAACUGCGAGUGUAGAGGUGAAAUUCGUAGAUAUUCGCAAGAACACCAGUGGCGAAGGCGGCACACUGGCCCGGUACUGACGCUGAGGUGCGAAAGCGUGGGUAGCAAACAGG
rnacentral:rRNA from 1 species